rnacentral:pre_miRNA from 1 species
UUCCUAUGCAUAUACCUUUUUCAGAUGUAACUUUAAAGAGGCAUAGGGCAUGGGAAAA